rnacentral:rRNA from 1 species
AACAGGAUUAGAUACCCUGGUAGUCCAUGCCGUAAACGAUGUCUACUAGCCGUUGGGGCCUCUGAGGCUUUAGUGGCGCAGCUAACGCGAUAAGUAGACCGCCUGGGGAGUACGGUCGCAAGACUAAAACUCAAAUGAAUUGACGGGGGCCCGCACAAGCGGUGGAGCAUGUGGUUUAAUUCGAUGCAACGCGAAGAACCUUACCUGGCCUUGACAUACUAGAAACUUUCCAGAGAUGGAUUGGUGCCUUCGGGAAUCUAGAUACAGGUGCUGCAUGGCUGUCGUCAGCUCGUGUCGUGAGAUGUUGGGUUAAGUCCCGCAACGAGCGCAACCCUUUUCCUUACUUGCCAGCAUUUCGGAUGGGAACUUUAAGGAUACUGCCAGUGACAAACUGGAGGAAGGCGGGGACGACGUCAAGUCAUCAUGGCCCUUACGGCCAGGGCUACACACGUGCUACAAUGGUCGGUACAAAGGGUUGCUACACAGCGAUGUGAUGCUAAUCUCAAAAAGCCGACCGUAGUCCGGAUUGGAGUCUGCAACUCGACUCCAUGAAGUCGGAAUCACUAGUAAUCGCGGAUCAGAAUGCCGCGGUGAAUACGUUCCCGGGCCUUGUACACACCGCCCGUCACACCAUGGGAGUUUGUUGCACCAGAAGUAGGUAGUCUAACCGCAAGGAGGACGCUUACCACGGUGUGGCCGAUGACUGGGGUGAAGUCGUAACAAGGUAACC